rnacentral:snoRNA from 1 species
UGCCUUCAUGUGUUGCUCGUUCAUCGUCUCCAUCGUGAAGCGAGUGUCAGCGAAGGCGAACAGAGACUCGUGUGGUUUUCUGUCUGUGGACGGGUCGUCUGUGGCUCCUCCCACUGAGAGAACUGCAUGGACAUCU